UUUAGAAAAAGUUUAAGUACGAUGGUGAGAUUCAGGUGCUUCAUCAAGCAACCAUUGCCACCAGUAAGAAGGGGAGUGGGAAAGACCUGGCUGUACAAGCUGGGGAGACUGUGGAUGUCAUCAGCAAAUCUGACCCUGACAAAUUCAUCUGUAGGAACAAGGAUGGCAAAUUUGGAUAUGUCUUAGCCAUCAACAUCCAAACAGAUGAUGAGGUCUAUGAUGACAUUGGAGAUGACUGCAUCUAUGACAAUGACUGAAGACCUCACACCAUCAUCUCAUCUUCAUCUUCUGGUGCAGCUUAUUAUUUCUGGCUCUUAUUGUCUUCUUGGUUGUUGAUGUUGAGUAUAUUUAUUGUAUAGACACUUGUAGUAUUAG